rnacentral:rRNA from 1 species
GGCCUGGUACAUUCCCUUGAGUUGAUCAUGGCUAGAAUAACGCUGGCGGCGUGCCUAACACAUGCAAGUCGAACGAGAAGGUGACUUCGGUCACUGGAUAGUGGCGUCCGGGUGAGUAACACGUAGGUAAUCUACCUUCGGGUGGGGAAUAACGUCUCGAAAGAGACGCUAAUACCGCAUAAUGCAGCGGCACCUAAUGGUGAAUAGUUGUUAAAGCGGGGGAUCUUCGGACCUCGCGCCUGAAGAGGAGCCUGCGGCAGAUUAGCUUGUUGGUGAGGUAAUGGCUCACCAAGGCUUCGAUCUGUAGCUGGUCUGAGAGGACGGCCAGCCACACUGGCACUGACACACGGGCCAGACUCCUACGGGAGGCAGCAGUGGGGAAUUUUGGGCAAUGGGCGAAAGCCUGACCCAGCAACGCCGCGUGAAGGAGGAAAUCCUUCGGGAUGUAAACUUCAUAAGUAAGGGAAGAAAGCUGCGGAUUGAAUAAAUCCGCAGUCCGACGGUACCUUACGUAAGCCACGGCUAACUACGUGCCAGCAGCCGCGGUAAUACGUAGGUGGCAAGCGUUGUUCGGAAUUAUUGGGCGUAAAGGGCGCGUAGGCGGUUUGCUAAGUCAGUUGUGAAAGCCCGGGGCUCAACCCCGGAGGGUCGGCUGAUACUGGUGGACUAGAGUACGGAAGAGGUAGCUGGAAUUCCCGGUGUAGCGGUGAAAUGCGUAGAUAUCGGGAGGACACCUGAGGCGAAGCGGGCUACUGGGCGAUACUGACGCUGAGCC